rnacentral:misc_RNA from 1 species
UGGUUCUGGCAACGAUGAAGAACGCAGCGAAAUGCGAUAAGUAAUGUGAAUUGCAGAAUUCAGUGAAUCAUCGAAUCUUUGAACGCACAUUGCGCCCGCUAGUAUUCUAGCGGGCAUGCCUGUUCGAGCGUCAUUACAACCCUCAAGCGCUACGGUGCCUGGUGUUGGGGCUUCUGCCGGUCACUCUUUGGAGCACCGGCAGGUCCUGAAAGCGAGUGGCGGGCCCGCCGCGACCCUGAGCGUAGUAAUAUACACAUCGCUUUUGUGGCGCGUGGUGAGUUCCAGCCGUGAAAACACCCCUAUUUCACAAGUUUGACCUCGGAUCAGGUAGGAAUACCCGCUGA